rnacentral:sRNA from 1 species
GGAUGUGAGGGUGAUCUGGCUGCAACUUCUGUCACCCCAUUGACCGCCACGGUUGAUUUGGCUGAUCUGGCUGGCUUGGCGGGUGUCCCCUUCCUCCCUCAAAGCUCCACAUGCAUCCCUCCUGAGGCUAUGCACCAGGUGGAAGAGGACGACCUUCCCCGAUAGAGGAUUGGUCUUCAGUCAAGGGUAUACGAGUAGCUGUACUCCCCUGCUAGAACCUCUCAACAAGCUCUCAAGGUCAAAUUCUUCCCACCAAUCUGAUU